AAAUGGUACUUUUGUCAUUAAAUGAAAUAUAAUUAAAAAGGUAAUUUCAAAAUGAUUUUAGACGGGUGAUAAUAGUUCGACUCUUCUUUGAGUAAAUCCAAGGCAAAGCAGUGUUACAAAAAGAAUGCGUACGUAAGCUAAAUUUAUCCAUAAUUGCUUCUCGGGCUUUAAGGUUUACAAUUCAUAUAGCCCUUGUUUUUGGCCUGGGCUUGAUUCUGUCUCUCUAGCUUUGUUAACUAAACAACCCGUAAAAACAUCGAUCACGUACAGUGUCAAGAAAAGUAAGCAGGCAGGUCCUUUGCAUUGUUGCAAUGGCCAAACAUCAAAUAUAUGCUGCCAGACACCUGUUUUGCUUUUGUGUUUGGACGAAACUAGAAGUUAUAUAUUUAUUUUUUCGUUGCAGAAAAUUGAAAAUGUAGGCAUGUCGCUGAGUUAUCAGGUUCGGUCAGAUUUGAAGUUGUCUCGAAGUAAUAUAACUGGAGUAAUAUUUCACUUCCCAAAUAAUUUUAAAGAGAUUUCAAUCCAAGUAGCAUUUGUCAUUAGACGUUAAUUGGAAUGGAAUGGUUAAAUAAAUUAUUCUACAACUUAUAAAAAUUUAGCAUAACAUGUUAAUUAAGAAUUUGAAUUUAGUAUAGAGUUGAUAUGUACUCAACUCUUCAUUAUCUUCUGCUAUACGUUUAUGUGCAGUAAUAUACGAUUAUCCAGUAAUUAUCAAUUGUAUCUUUUUGAAAUGUUAGCAAAAAAAAUCAGCUGAAACUAGGAAAAAAAAUAUGUUGUUAAUUGUGAUUGUGAAUAAUCACAAUCAUGCAUCUAGCUUCCCUUAGUUUUCAUUCUAUAAUCUUUAUCUUGUUAAAUAAAGACGAUUCAUGAAAAAAAGUGCUUGUUAAUUGUGAUUGUGAAUAAUCUCUUUGUGGAAAUGUCUGUGAGGAUGAUGAACAGUUUGAUUCUGGAAAAUAUAAAAGGCAUGAUAUUGAUGUAGGACUCAGAUUUGCACGUCCAAUUUCUGUUCCGCUCAAAACAAUGGCUCUUAUUACACAACCAAAAACUCAACCAAGAUAACAAACGGGAAAAAGAAAAAAAUAAAUUAAGUUACAUUAACUUCUUGUUGCAACAUCAUCCAGAAACUUCUCUUUAAUCUUCUUGAGCUUUGCAGCGGCAUCUUUCAUAGAUACCCUCUGUUCUGGUGACUCCAUGCAACAAUCCAAAGCCAAAUGCAUGAUGCUUAAUAAACAAUCAAUUUUGACAGAAAAAGCUUGCUCUUCUCGCACCAAAUUCGCAUCAACAACUUCAGUCAAUCCAUCAGGUAAUGACUCCUUUACCCAAUGCUUUAAACUCAUUUCUCCAAUAAAUAUUUCAUCUGUAGGCUUCUUUCUCGUGAAAGUUUCCAUCAACAAAAUACCAUAACUAUAGACAUCACUUUUAGGUGAAAUAAUUCCCUCUGAUCCAUACUCUGCAUUUUUUUUAAUGUUGAUUCAUCAUAAAUAUAUCCCACCAUGAAAUAAAUGAUAUACAAAUAACAAUAAUCGACCCAAACUUUGCCUAUGCUUGAAAAAAGAGAAAAAUUUAGAGUUUAGAUUUGAAAUCUUACCUGGAGCCAUAUAACCAAUUGUAGCUAUUGUCAUGGUUUGUAUCACAGAAUCAUCUCCUUCGCCUAAAAGUUUGGAAAUGCCAAAGUCACUCACAUGUGCCGUCAUGUUUUCAUCUAAUAGAAUGUUGUUGGGCUUCAAAUCACAGUGAACCACGGGUGUUGAAUGACCGUGAUGAAGAUAUUCAAGAGCCAAACCCACAUCUAUCAUUAUAUUCAACCUCUCUAGGAUACCAAGGAAAUAGUUGUGAGAAUACAACCACUUCUCAAGACUACCAUUGGGCAUAAACUCAAGCACCAAGGCUUUAAAAUCUAUGUUACAACAGUUGCUAAUGAUCUUUAUGAGAUUUCGAUGACGAAUACUCCGUAGUAUUUCACAUUCAGAAUCAAAGCUCCUAGAAGCUCUCUCCAACUGCAAAUUGAAAACCUUUAUUGCAACAUUAGUGCCAUCAAAAAGUGUCCCUUUGUACACUGACCCAAAACUUCCUGUACCGAGCAAGUUGCAUUCAUUAAAUCCAUUAGUUGCACGUUGAAUAUCUAGAUAUGAAGUUCUUCUCCAUGUUGCCAGAGAUAACAAAUCUUCUUGAUCCCCAUCUUUUGUACUCCUAUUUCGGUGCCUUAUAAAGAAGAUUAUGACAAUUGCUAUUAGUACAAUGGAUGUUAUUGGAGGUAAAAUAUAUUUCAAAACAAGUAGAGCAACUUUCUUGAAUCCUCUGCUAUUAUAUUUCCUGCAAGAUGGGACUUGGAGUCUUGCUGGACCACAAAGUGCAUAAUUUGAAAGGAACGAUUGAGCUGAGAAGUUUCUAAAUGGCCCUUUGGUCGGAAUUUCUCCUUCUAGCAUAUUGUGAGACAAAUUAAGUUGUUUAAGAUAUGAAAGUGCCUCUAAUGACUUGGGAAUUUCUCCAGAAAGAUUAUUUCUAGAGAGAUCCAAAGAUUCCAAGCUUAUCAAACUACCAAAUGAUUUAGGGACCGGACCCUGAAAUUGAUUAUCAGCCAAGGACAGAGUUUCUAAGUUUUCGAGGCCACCAAUAGUUGUCGGAAUAUCACCCGAUAAUUGAUUCCUUGAUAAAUCUAAAUUUGUCAAUACCUUCAAGUUUUGUAUAUUUGAAGGGAGAGAACCAUUCAACGAAUUUGCCGACAAGUUUAUGUACAAAACGUACUCAAGACUCCCGAAGGAUGACGGCAUUGUAGAUGUGAGCUUGUUGGAGCCCAAGUGGAGUCUUCUCAGAGAAGUCAAACUCGCCAAGCAUGGAGGUACAUGCCCGCAGAGCUUAUUUCCAUUUAAAUUUAAUUCACUCAGCCCCUCUAAGUGGCACAGAUCAUAAGGAAUGGAUCCUUGCAAUUUAUUUCCAUGGAGAUACAAACCUUGUAGCCGUCGCAGUCUUCCCACCGCCGUUGGAAUAGUACCAUUCAAGUCACAACCGUUGAGGUCGAAAACUAUCAUGCCACUUAAAUUUCCAAUUUCUUGAGGGAUGUUGCCCCUGAGUUUGCAACCGUAUGCAUAAAAUUCUUGAAGAGAAGCAGAGAAAUUCCCAAUCAAUGGUGGAAGAAUGCCCCGUAAUGGAUUAGAAGCUAAGCCUAAAACUGUCAGAUUUCUGCAAUUAGUCAAAGAAGAGAGAAAAUUCCACUUCGCGGCAGAAGAUUCAGUCAUCAAGUAGUUAUAAGCUAAGCUGAGCACCUGAAGGGAUCCUAAGUUGCCAAAAGUGUUUGGGAUAAGGCCAGAGAAAGAGUUUGAACUCAAGUCUAGCAUAAUGAGUUUAGAAGCAUUGGUGAUUGAAUUGGGAAUUGUUCCACUAAGUUUAUUGUCGAACAAGGUUAGAUACUUCAGGUUCGGAAGCAUGUAGCCCAUUGUUGAUGGUAGGUGGCCUGAGAGUCGAUUUUCAAUUAGACCGAUGAUUUCCAGGCUUGAUAUAUUGAAGAUUGUGGGUGGAAUUCGACCAGUUAAGUUGUUGGUUUCAAGAAGUAGGGCCUCCAGAUUUUGUAGAUUGCCAAUGUCGGUUGGAAUCUCGCCUGACCAUUCAGCCAACUCACAUAAUAAGCAGAUACGAGAAUAAUUUUAUACAUUGCCACAUAUAAUAUAAUAGACACAAAAGAAGUGUCAUUCGAUUUUAAUAUGAAAAGUGAUGAAUAAGACAGAAUUUGAUUUGAUAUAAAAGGCACAGUUAUAACAUAUUUUAUUUAUUUUUAAUUUGAGAAUUGUUAUGGAGUCUCACAUAGGUUUAGAAUAUAGGGAAAACUAUUUUUCCAAUGGGGUAAAUAACCUUUUUUUUAAUUUAAUUGCACUACAGUUCAAACUUUUGUUAAAAAUUUAAAAAAAUAAAUAUUUUAAAUUUUGACAAUCAAAGUCCUAUUUAUUUUAAUUUUUUUUACUUAUAUUCUUGAUCAUUGUUGACUAUUGACGAAAUUUUAAUAGAAUAUGAAAUUGACAUUUUAAUCCUUUCAAACAAAUUAUUUAAAGGGUGAGGAUAUUUAAAUCAUAAAAAUACUAUUUGUAGAACCUUUUUAUUAAAAGAUUUAUAUUUAAAAAUAUACAUGUAUUAAAUUACUAUUAAAAAAAAUGAUAAAUCUUUGUAAUUUAUAAUUAUUUAUUCUCUACCUGUGUUAUCUUUUAUUUAACAAAAAAAUAGCGAUUCUUAUACGGAAAAACUAUUAAGCUAUGCGGUUUAAUAAGUUUUUUGAACUUUAUCAAAUCCAGGAUCUUGUAUUGGAACAUUUCUAUAUAUAUAUAGUUCAAGAAUUUCUAGAGAACUUGAACAAAUUGUAAUAUUAUAAGAGCUAUAGAUCUUAUAUUUAGAGGCAUCUAUGAAAAAACAAUAAUAUUUCAAAUCACGCCACUACAUAGACUAGUGAAUCGAUGGUAUGCUUAUUGUUGAUGAAAAAAUAUAUUUCUAAAAUAUGAUGGUUUUAAUUAAAAUUGUUUUAUUAGGUUAUCGAGUUUACGAAAAGAAGAAAUGAAAAUAACAAAGGAUGAAGCUCAUGGGUACUAAUUAGGAACAAAGAAAGAAGAGGAAUGAAGUUCGAUUACAUGUAGAUAUGAAACAUAUUAAUAUUAAAAUAAAUUUUUUUAAUUAAAAAUAAUUUAGGAAUUAUUUGAUAGAAAUUAAUAAUAUUAUUGGAAAUAUUUAAUUUAGGCAUAGACAUUUUCAUUUUAGUAUGCAUUAUUAUUAUUGGCAAAUUAAUAUAUAUUUUUAUUAGGCGUGCUUUUUUAACAAACAUAUUCAAAUAAUUUAUUGUAUAUUAAAUAGAUAUUAUGCAAUAAAAAAAUGUUUACCAACACAUGUUGAUUUUUAAUGCAUUUUAAAAUUUUGACACGAGAUUACAUUAUUGCCCCUACACCGACACUUAUUCAAAUAGUUAAAUUAUGGUUGCGUUUUUUUUUUUUAUUUGAAAUCUGAAUAGGUCUGAAUGAAAAUGUCUGAAUAACAUGUUUGUUUUUUCUUUUUCAACAUCUGAAGAGAAAAAAUUAAAACUUAGUAGUUUGACAUAAAUAUCCUUUUAAGUGGUGCAUAUAUUUGUUCUUCACAGUUUAUAAUUUUCACAGGUUAAUUAUUUUGAAAGCAUUAAAAAAAAUACUAUCAUUGUUGAUCUUAAUUUAAUUUUUUAAUAAAAGAUGUAAUGAUAACAUCAAAUUUUAUUAUAAAGUCAAUAUUGAUAUUUUAUUUUUGAUUCAUCACAAUGGAUAUAAUUUGAUUUAUUCAAUAUUUUAGUUUAGUUAACGCAAUUAAAAAAAUAACUUCACGAAUAAUACAAAAUAUUAAGUUUAUAUAUAAAAUUGGAAAUACAUAAAUUGUUAAGGAUACUUUUAAGAUUUGAAAUUGAAAUUUUCCAUUUAAAUUUCAGACUUAAGAUAAAAGUGGAUUUUUUUUUUUACUUUUUCUAUUUAGAUAAAAUUGUCUGAUAAUAAGUGAUAAGUUAAAAAAAAACCUAAGUUAAAUUUAUCUAAUCAAAUUCUUCUUGUAAUAUCAUUUUAUAUAUAAUUAUUUGUACAAAGUGUUUGUAGCACCUCAAUUCUUGAAUUAAGUUUUGAGUUUAUAAGUUAGACCCAUUGCGAUUUAGACCCAUGACUUUUGAUGAUUACCACAAACUAAUUUAUAAAUUUAUUGUAAAUAUUUAUGUGAAUGUUAGUGCAUAUAAAAGAAUAAAAAUAGUCAUAUAUCAAGCAACAAGAUUAUAAAAAUUCUUUAACAAAAUGCAGAUAUUUAAUAAAAGAAUGACAACAAUAUAACAAAUAAACUUAUCAUAUAAAUUAUUAAAAAUUGUACCAUAAAAGUUAUGUAUGAAUUUUUUUUGUCCAUUUAUUGAUAGAGAUUAGAGAAGAUGAAAUAUUUGAAUGAUUUGACAUAAUAAAGAGAAAAAUAGCACAUAUAACUAUAAAGGACUAAACCAUGGAAUUAUGCAAAUGUUGUUAAUUGUUAUAAUAUAUUUGUAAAUUUCUAGUAUUUUGUGGCAAUGUUGUAAUACAUUAACUUGCUUUUCUUUCAAUUAGGCUAAACCGUCAUUUAUUAUAAGUUAAAACAUUAAUAAUAUUUUAGUCCUAAUGAUUUCAAUUUAUUUAAUAAAUAUAUAAUUUAAUUGCAUCAUAAAAUAAGUCUAUAACUCUAAUUGAAAUGUAAGAAUAACUAUAAAGUUAUUUCAAAUUAAAAAAAAAGAGUUAGGACUGGAGACAUACUUGAAAACAAAAUAAAAACUCUAUGAUUAUAUGAAUUUUUUUAAAACUAGGUUAUAAAUGAAUAGGGUUGAUCCGAAUCCGGAUGUAAGUUUCUAAAUUUGGAUCCGUAAAAAAAAAUCGGACGGAUCCCAAUGCGGGUAAUAUCCGCAACGGAUGCGGGCGAAUAUUCUGGAUAUCCGGAUCCGUAAAAAUUAAAAUUUAAUAAUUUAAUAAAUAAUUUAAAAAUUCAAUAAUUUAUCUAAUAAUAUCAAAUAAAAUUAAAUGAUAAUUCAACAAUUAAUAAUUCAACAUGAAUAACAUACAAUAAUCUCAUAAAUCUACAAAUAAAAUAAUUUUUUUUAUUUUUUAUUUCAUUUUUAAUAUAUAUGUUUAAUUUAAUUUUUAAUUUAAAAUAAAAUUCAAUAAUUUACCUAAUCAUAUCAAAUAAAAUUCAAUCAUAAUCCAAAAUUAAUAAUUCAACAUGAAUAAAAUACAACAAAAUCAUAAAUCCACAAAUUUACUUAUUAAUAAUGUAUUUGACAUUCCUAUUAAUAAUGAUUUUUUCCUAGAUUAUACGGGGCUAUAGCUCGUCAUAGCCCACCUAUGGAUCUGCCCCUUGACCCAUGACCAUGAGUGUCAACAUGAAUAUAUAAUUAUUAAGAAAUAAUGCUAUAUGUAUAUUGAAGAUAAGACAAAAUUUAGUACAAAGGGUAUAAAAGACCAAAAAAAAAUCUUAUCUUGUAGUGAUUUUUUUUUUUUAAUCUUAUAGUUAUUUCUUUUUAUCUUCUAGUGAUGGUUUAUUAUUUUUUGUGGGUUUUUUUUUGGCAUAUAUCACUCUCGAUUAUUAAGUGGUCGACUUUUUAAAAUAAAACAAUUAAUUAUACACAAUUAUAUGGUAAUUCGAAUUGAUACCACUCAAAUAGAGAAAAACUGAAAUCUUUUGCAUCAGCCAUGCACCGGGUUAGAUUUUGACACAUGUCUAGUUUUUAGCAUAUUUUUUGCACCAAAUACAAUACAUAUCUAAAUGAAUUCUGCAACAUGGAAACGCAAAUAUGUACACGCUUCGAAGGUGGAGCUAGCGUACCUUGUAGGUGGUUAUUAGCAGUAUAUAGAUCUCUAAGCUUGCUCAAAUUUCCAAUAUUUUCUCUCAGUCGUCCAGUAAAUUUAUUAUCACUCAUCCACAAACGACGAAGAUCAAUGCAGUGGCUUAAACUUGACGGAAUCUGGCCAAAGAGUUUGUUUGAAUGCAAGUAAAUUUCCUGAAGCUUUGGCAGACGAUUACACAUAUCAUUCGGCAAAGUACCAGAUAGGCUAUUGAAACCUAAAUUGAUCCACUUCAAGGAGGAAAUGUUGUAGAAACUCCAAGGAAUGGGACCUGUGAAACUGUUAUUACGAAGACUUAAUAUUUGAAGUUUGGAUAACAUACCGAUCCAUGACGGAAAGCUUCCACUGAAUUUAUUGUCCUCCAAACCAAAGGACUUGAGCCGGUGUAAUUGUCCUAAUUCAUUCGGAAGAUGGCCAUAUAAAUUAUUUUGACCAAAAUUAAGAUACACUAGGAAUGAGAGAUUUCCCAAGUACGGAGGAAUGGUGCCUUGGAGACCUAUAUUUGAAAGAUUCAGAACUCUGACUCUACGAUGCCGAGCACCACAAGAAACGCCAACCCAGUUACACAAUGGAUAAGAUAUAGACCAAUUAUUUGCCAAGACACUAUGAGGAUCAAUGACAUGGGCUUUGAACAUAAGAAGAGCAGAUUGAUCCGUGGUUAUGUUUUUUACAAUAGUCAUGGCUAAGCUAGCCACAAGACAGUGUAAUAUUAACAUAGGAACAAAGAAGAAGAAUGAGCGCAUAUUGGUAGUUUUAUUAGUUACACAUACCAGAACUAAAGAGAUCAUUGAUAUAGUUUUAAGGUGAAAGAAAAAUAUCAUAUUUAUAAUAAAGACUCGUGAGUCGUCCUUAUUCACUAUGGCGACCUUCUAAGCUGCAAGGCUUAUGGCACUUUAUUUCUAAUUCUUGAAUUUAAUCUUGAAUUUACUUUAUUUCUAUUUUUUUUUAACUGAUUAAGCAUCAUAUUACCGUAUUAUACAAAGAUAUUUACAAUUGUUAUGAUAGCACGUCAUUACAUUGAUAUUUAAAAUCAUAUAUAUACCCGGGACUUACAUUAUUAUAUUUUUAUUUUAUGAAGUACAUGCCCAGCCAAAUACCCCUCACGAAGGAGGGAUGUCUUUACCCCACUCGCAUUUCUCAAGGGAGAAAGACGUUAUAAGUAAUCUCCACACAAUUAAAUUUAAUUGAGAGAGAUUGAGUUUGUGAAAACUCAAACUAUUAUCCUCAUAGCCAUACUUAAUUUUAAGGAUAAUAAUUUAUCACUGAGCUACAAGCCCAAGUGACUAUUUUAUUUCUAAUUCUAACCACGCAAAAUGACACUUUUUUUUUCCUUGACUAUUCAUGCAAGUGGACUUUUCAGUUUCGUCGGAAAAAAAAAAGGGAUGACCUGGACUUUUACUAGUGCCACACAUUUUGAUCUUAUAAUAAAUACGGUUCCAGAUUUUCUCCACUUUCACGCCCGGCCCACGCUGUCCGUGUGUUCACAAAAUUUCAACAAUAACUAUUUAUUUUUAGGAAGAAAUUUCAACAAUAAAAGAGAAUUAUGGGCAAGUCCUAUUCGCCGCUGUCAAUGGUUUCCCACAUCAAUUCGUAGCUAAGGUGGGCCAACAUUAAACCAAACCAGUUCAAACCAAACUUAGUAACUGACGUUUCAUUAUAUUAUGCAAUCUAAAACUUUUUUGAAAAAUGAGCUUGUAAAAGCCUAAGUUGAGUUCCCUCAGAGAUAUCAAAACUGCCAAGCAUUGUGGUACAUAGCCCGAGAGCUUGUUUUCACUUAGCAGUAAUCCAUCCAACCUCUCUAAGUGAUAAAGAUAGUAGCUAGGAGUGUUCGCGGAUCAAAUUUUGUGAAUUGGAUAUCAAUCCAUAUCCGAUUCAUGAUUUUAUAGAUUAUAAAUUUUUAAUUCAAUUCAAUCCACGGAUUAGUGAAAUUCAAUACAAAUCCAAUCUAUGCGUCUGCGAAUUGGAUGUAGAUUUGACUCAAUUCACAUAUAAUCUACUAUUUUGUGAAUUAGUUUGUGGGCUAAAAAUUUUUAAUUAUGUCAUAUCUACGAACUAACUAAAAAAUUAAUAUAAAAAUAAUUUUACUACCGAUCAAAUUCGAAAUUAAAUAAGAUUUAAAUAAAUUAAUUGUUUAAACAAAGCUAGAAAAUACAUCAAAGUUUCAAAUAUACAACACACCAAAAAAAAAAAAAAACAAAUCUCAUUUACUUAGAUCAGUACAUGAAAAUUAAUUGCUUAAGAAGUUAUAUUUUUCUAUUUAAUUAUUUUUAUUUUAUAUUAUUAUCGAAUAAGAUAUAAUAUGGUGUUGAUGUAACUAUAUUUUUAUUUAUUUAUUUAUUAUAAGUAUAAUGUCAUAUUUACAAGUUUAAUUUUUUAUUAAAUGAUUUUUUUUUGUGGAUUCCCGAAUUUUUGUGGAUCUACAGAAAAAAACUAUAUCCAAUCCACCAACUGCGGAUUUUUAAAUUUUUAAUCUAAUCUAAGGAUCAUAUUCCUACGAAUUAGACGUAUUAAACGAAUUGGAUUGGAUUUUGAACACCCCUAGUUGCAGGGAAUAGAUCCUUGCAAAUAAUUACAGACAAUUAAGUUUACUAUUUAGUCAUUCCUUUGGCAAAUUCGCAAGUGUAAAUAUAAUAUUUACCUUUUCAAUCUUGAGUCAAUCUUUUUGUAACUAGAGUCAGUUUGCAAGGUUACAUUCAAUUGUAUAAAUAUCUUUCAUUCUUACUGAGAAAGGGCUGGUUAGAGACUUUUACGUUACACAAGCCAAGUAAUAACAUUCUCUUUACAAACUUUCCUUUCACAUUUAGAAAAUCUAGACAUCACGUGGAAAGCCAUUAGCAAGUAAGUUAUUAUUAGAGUAGGUACGAGAAAGAGAAAGUUGCAUCGGCAAAAACUAGCUUUUCAAAGUUUAUUAAACUGGUUCUAAAAAUAUGCUUACAAAAAUACUUUAAAUUCUUAACUCACGCCCAAAAAUACCUUUCAACAACAUAUUUUUGGAAAAACAACACUAACAGACACCGUGUUUAAAAUGAAAUUUUCGGAAUUUAGCAAAAAUUUGUACUAAGUUCUUAUUAUUUUUUUCAAAACAAAAUGUUUUCCAAAAACUUUUUCGAAACUAUUUUCUCUUGGAUAAUAAUAAAGACGGACUUUUUGUUAAUGCUUUAAAUAUAAAUUAUACUUUCAUUAACUAGACUAGACUUCUUAACCCAAACAAAAUAAAUAAAUAAAUAAAGAGAUUAAAAUAAUUUAGUUGUUAAUCGCUUUCAAAACAACAUCUAGAUUUUCUAAGUGUGAAAGGAAAUUUUGUAAAGGAAAUUUUAUUACUUGGCUUGUGUGGACACAAAGUCGCUUGCCAAAAAAGUUCUCCCUUUCCCAACAAGAAUGAGGUAUUUAUACAUUUGAAUGUGACCUUGCAAACUAACUCUAGUUACAAAAAGAUUGAUUCAAGUUUCAAAAGAUAGAUAUUACAUAGGGAUGGUAAUGGGGUAGGGAGGGGAGGGGACUAAUCUCCCCGUACCCAUCCCCGAUAUUUUGCGUAUGUCCCCGUCCCCUCUCCAUCCCCAUCAGAAUUGCUUGAGAGAAUCUAUAUCCCCUUCCCGAAUAAUAACAUGGGAUUCUCGAGGGUCCCCGAUCUCCGAAUAACUAAUAUAUAUUUUUUAUUUUUGAUUUUAAGUUAAUUAUAUUAAAAUAAAAAAAUUUAAAUAAAAGUAAAGUUCGAAAUAUAUCUUACAUUAACAUUGAUCCAUUACAAAAGUCACAUGCAAAAUACAAAUUAUCAAAAUAAUUAUCUUUGUCAAUCUUCAUAAUCUUACAAUAAAAGAAAAAGAAUUUACUUUUAUAUCGACAAUAAAAUAAAUGAAAUAAAUGUAGAUACUUAAUUAAUAUUUUUAAUAAAACAAAAUUAAAAUUAAAACAAAAUUUUUGGGCUAAUAGAAUCUACCCGGCCUUUUUAAUGUCCUAAAUAAAAAUUUAAGACUUUAAUUAGUUAAUUAGGCCUAAAAGUUUAAUAAUAUAAAUAUUUUGAUAUUUGUUAUUUUUAUCAAUAUUUAUAAUUUUAUAAUAUAAUUCAAAAUUUAUUAUUUAUUAACUAGUAAUUUUAAAAAAUAAAAAUAAAAUUAAAAAUUAAAAUGGGGGAAAUGGGGAGGGGAUGGGGAUUCCACCUCAUCCCCGUCCCUUCCCCGAAUAAGAAACUGUGUAAAAAAAUUUCCCCGUCCAUUCCCCAAAUAAAAAAUUGGGUAUAAAAUUAUCCUCGUACCCUCCCCGAAUGGGGAAAAUCCCCAAGGGUACCCGUCCCCGUUGAGAUUUUUGUCAUCCCUAAUAUUACAUUUACACUUGGCAAUUUGUAGUAAUUUAAAUAUAAUAAGGUUUCACAUCUUUUUUUUUUUAAUUAUAUGAGACUAAUGCUCAGAUUGCAACUCAUAUUAUAUGAGAUUUACAACUGAUAUUUACAAUCAUACAAUUAUUGAGACUAGUUUACAUUAAUUUUUAUAUAACACUGCCCAUAUUUUUACCCUCUCUAAUAUUUGAGGGGUGUCUACUUCAUUCACAUUUCGAAAUGGAGAAAAUUGCCUUCACUUAAUUAUAUACCAUAAUUAAGGAAGGAGAUAAGUCCCUACAUGCGUUGCGGGAGCUCGAAUCGUUGCCUUCACAAUUAUGAGUGCAAGGUCCUGCAUCUUAAUUUUGUUAAAGAUUAUAUAAAUUAUUUUUUUAAACUCAUUCACUUACUACUAAUUUUAUGGAAUCUAAUUGUAUUUCUAAAGUUUGUUGUGUCAUUGCUCUACUCUACUUAUCGAGGAGAUGAAAGUUUAACAAGGCUCACUUUCUUAAACAUUGGGCUUUGACGGGCGUUGCCUUUUUUCUCUAGCUUUGGUGGGCUCGUCGUCCCUAGCCUUCUGUUUUAAAGCACAAUGUUUUACGUAAAGUUUACGCACUCAAUCAAACUUUGUUUAUUUUCGGGUCACUUAGACCGGUGACUAUAUUUCACUUGCAUUUUCAGCUUGUUGAUUUCACUUAGGGUUGGCACCUGCUCCAGCUCGGGCGAGGCUUUUUUAAGCCCGAGUUCUACCUACGCAUGUCUCUCGGCGGGUCGGGUCAGACUUUUUCAAGCCGCCCUAAAAGUGUGAAUUUAUAUGUUAUUUUUUAAAGAAUUUUUUCAUUAUGUUUUAUAAAUCUAUAAUAUGUAAAAAAAAAAAUUUAUUAGAUUAGGCUUUAAAAGUUAGGGUAAAAGGAUUUAAAGCUUUAAACAUAUGUUUUGAAUGGAUUAAAUAAAUAUUAAAAAUUAUAUUUUAUUUAAAAUAAAAUAUAUUUUUUUGACAUUUAUCGGGUUUUUGGACUAGAGUUAGACUUUUUAGGUGAAGCCUAAACCUAACCUGGGCGUUUUCAAAAUAUGGCCAGGUCAAGUCAAGUCCAACCCGAAACACCCAAGGCCCUGUCCAAUAUGCUUUUUCUGCUAUUCAUAAUUUCACUUGUAUUUUUUUACUCUUUCGCAUUCUAAUAUGAGUAUUGUUAUCUCCUACUGUUAAUUUGUAAUGAUGUGUCAUUUUUUAGCGAAAUCACAUGUUGAUACCUCUUUCCUCUCAAGACCAGCUGAGGUAAGAACAAUGGAAUGAUGGAUGGAGGUCAUAUUUAGACACAACAUAAAGUUGAAAAGACAGUGAAAUGGGAUUUACUGACGAUCUGAUUUGAUGAGUUUAUGUUGUUGGCGAUCAUGAUUGCGUGCUUACUGUGAAUGUUUCGCCUUAGCCUGUAUAUACGGAUUCCAUUGGUGGUUACAAGUUGUGUUUUUAGGGUUAAGGAGUCACCAUGCUUUAACUUGUCAACUGCAACAUUCAUGUUUUGAACCAUCUUUAUCCCCUUAAGAUACCCUCCCUAGAUUUUAGGCGUGUGGCCUGUCUUCCUUUGAGUCUGACUGACUCAGUUGCCCCUCUCAGGAGUAAUAUAUUUUAUGUUGAAGUGAGGUCCUUCCCUGAGAUAGGGUAUAAUUUAUUGAAGUAAAUGCUAAAUGACUCUCCAAAACAGUUGCCACUUUGGUAAUUAUUUGGUCAAUGACCAAAUAGAACAUUAUGUUUUAAGCUCUCGUCCAUGUACUUUCUUCUGCCGAUCAUGUAUAGUGUCAAGAAAAGUAAGCAGGCGGGUCCUUUGCAAUGGUCAAACAGAAAGUAUAUGCUGCUGGACACCUGUUUUGCUUUUGUGUUUGGACGAAACUAGAGAGAGAGAUAUAUAUAUAUAGAGAGAGAGAGAGAGAGAGAGAGAGAGAGAAAAUGAAGGCAUGUUGUCGAGUUAUCAGGUUCGAUCAGAUUUGAAGUUGUCUCUUAGUAAUAUAACUGGAGUAAUAUUUCAGUUCCCAAAUAAUUUUAAAGAGAUUUCAAUCCAAAUAGCAUUUUUCAUUAGACAUUAAUUGGAAUGGUUAAAUAAAUUAUUCUACAACUUAUAAAAAUUUAACAUAACCUAUUAAUUAAGAAUUUGAAUUUAGUAUAAAGUUAAUCUGCACUCAACUCUUCAUAAUCUUCUAUCAUACUUUUAUGUGUAGUAAUAUACGAUUAUCCAAUAAUUAUCAAUUGUAUCUUUUUGAAAUGUUAGUAAAAAAAUCAACUCAAACUGAAUCCAAAACCAUUAACUAAUAACACACAAGUAUAGGGUGGCAAUUUGGGUACAAUUAGUUUAUUUUAUUCAAUUCAAAUCAAAUCAAAUAGAUCUGGAUUUGAAAAAAUUGAUUCAUUUAAUAAUUGAAUGGAUUCGAUUUCUUUUGUCAAAUAAACAAAUCGAAUUUGAGUUUGAGGUUACUAAUACAUUUAUUUGUUUAGAAUUUAUUUAGUAAAAAAGUUAUAAAGA
rnacentral:lncRNA from 1 species